UACGUAGGGUGCAAGCGUUGUCCGGAAUUAUUGGGCGUAAAGAGCUCGUAGGCGGUCUGUCGCGUCGGAUGUGAAAAUCCAGGGCUCAACCCUGGACCUGCAUUCGAUACGGGCAGACUAGAGUUCGGUAGGGGAGACUGGAAUUCCUGGUGUAGCGGUGAAAUGCGCAGAUAUCAGGAGGAACACCAAUGGCGAAGGCAGCACUCUGGGACGUGACUGACGCUGAGACGCGAAAGCGUGGGGAGCAAACAGG
rnacentral:rRNA from 1 species